UAGCUAAAAUACAGAGCAUGGUUGGAGUAGAAACAUGAAACAGUUGAUAGGCAAAGUAAAAUGUAUACUUUAUAGUAAUGUUUAGAUAGGUAAAAUGCCUAAUACCGUUGGAGAUGCUCUAAUAACACUAAUUUUUCACUUCUAGGAAUGAAAUUAAGCAGAGGAAGAAUUCCUGGCAAGAUGGAGUGUUGGACACUAAUUGCCCUAUCCCUCCAAACUCGAACUUUACUCACAAGUACCAAACCAAAGAUCAAAUUGGAACCUUCACAUACUUUCCAAUCAACUCGAAUGUACAAAGCAGCUGAGGUGGACCGAUCCAGUUUGGAAAGUCGUUCAGUUCCCGCAGCAACCCACAAAUGUGGAAUUUAGGUUUUAUGUGAUAAGGUACAUGAAAGACCUCAUUAGAGAUCAAAGCAUCCUAAGAAAAUAAAGUUUCAAUGGAAAAAAGACUUACACAGAAACCAAACUUGAUAAAGUGCGAGUUGAAUGGAUUAAUUUCGUCCUAAAAAAUAUGAGUUGAAAUCCAACAUCAGAUGAAGAGUCAGUGUGAUGAGAAAAGGUCAGAAAUUGCUUGGAGUGAUGUAAAAUAUGGUCAAAGAAUUCAAGAACUUUGUGCUUCA